GCCUUGAGGAAAUCACUAGUAUUUCUAGAUCUCAGUUAUUCUGUAGAAUUGGGAGAAUAAUACAUUAUUGUUUUAAAGAAAGGGAGAUGAGCCAGCUGAUCUCUUGAUCCCUCUGAGCAUUAAGAACCUUAGAAUUGUGUAGUAUUACAUUGUAUAUUUUAUUUUUUCAGAUGGUUGACAUUACUACUGAAGAACUGAAACAGCAGUUUGAUCAAGAAAUAAAAGUAAUGGCAAAGUGUCAACAUGAAAACUUAGUAGAACUACUUGGUUUCUCAAGUGAUGGAGAUGACCUCUGCUUAGUAUAUGUUUACAUGCCUAAUGGUUCAUUGCUAGACAGACUCUCUUGCUUGGAUGGUACUCCACCACUUUCUUGGCACAUGAGAUGCAAGAUUGCUCAGGAUGCAGCUAAUGGCAUCAAUUUUCUACAUGAAAAUCAUCAUAUUCAUAGAGAUAUUAAAAGUGCAAAUAUCUUACUAGAUGAAGCUUUCACUGCUAAAAUAUCUGACUUUGGCCUUGCACGGGCUUCUGAGAAGUUUGCCCAGACAGUCAUGACUAGCAGAAUUGUAGGAACAACAGCUUAUAUGGCACCUGAAGCUUUGCGAGGAGAAAUAACACCCAAAUCUGAU
rnacentral:sRNA from 1 species